AGAUUGAACGCUGGCGGCAGGCCUAACACAUGCAAGUCGAGCGGUAGAGAGGUGCUUGCAUCUCUUGAGAGCGGCGGACGGGUGAGUAAUGCCUAGGAAUCUGCCUAGUGGUGGGGGAUAACGUUCGGAAACGGACGCUAAUACCGCAUACGUCCUACGGGAGAAAGCGGGGGACCUUCGGGCCUCGCGCCAUUAGAUGAGCCUAGGUCGGAUUAGCUAGUUGGUGAGGUAAUGGCUCACCAAGGCGACGAUCCGUAACUGGUCUGAGAGGAUGAUCAGUCACACUGGAACUGAGACCACGGUCCAGACUCCUACGGGACGGCAGACAGGUAGGGGAAUAGUUAGGACAAGUAGGGACGAAAGGCCUGAUCCAGCCAGUCGCCGCGUGUGUGAAGUAAGUCUUACGG
rnacentral:rRNA from 1 species